rnacentral:piRNA from 1 species
GUUUACUUCAGAAAUGCUCUUCUGGUAUUGGA